UGCCCCAUGAAUGCAGCCUGACUCAAACUCUGAAAGGACCGCUUGGAGCUUGGUGCGGCACGCCUUUGACAAUAGCCAUUGCUCUGCAGCUCUGCAAUCAACUGUAUUUCUGCAGACUUGAAUUUGUAGGUAAAGAAAAAUAACUCAAGAUUCCUGAAGGAACUGUUAGCAUCUCUUUCCUGGAACAAGUACUUAAACCAUGCAUCUCUGAUUCUGGAACCAGGGUUCCUUGAGGAUGGACGGGGGAGAAAGAUUCAGAACUGGGAUUUCUUUCAGAAAAAGUUAUAGUAAAAAAUCAGCCAACAGAAGAAAAAGAGAAAAAGGCAGGAAGAAAGAAGAGGUUUGCUAAUCGUAAGUAAGCACAUAUGUAAUGGGUUAAAUCAGUAAAGCUUUGUGAUAACAGUUAAACCAGUGAUGCUCAGCAAUGAUCACUCAAAUGAGUUAGUCAGCUGAAACAUGCUGCUGCAUACUAAGUCCUAAAGAAAGGGGAGCCAAUAAUUGAGAGAGCAUUCCUAACUGAAAUAUACAAUUAAUUUGGUUAUUUUAAUACUGCUAUAAAUAUAAGUCUCUUAAUAAGUACUAAUUACAAAAAAUAAUAAUAAGUACAAAUUACAAAAGAACGGAUACAGAAAAACAGCCACUCAGUACAUAUUCAUUCAUUUGAAUUUAAGUAUUGAGUGUCAGACAAUGGAACGCUAUUAUAGACCCUGGCCUAUAAAUAAGAGGUAGACUAGAUUUUUUUUCAG